CUCAAACAUCUGACGUUUAUUCUAUGUGGCUCUUACAUUAAGCAAGCUUGGCCACUCCUUCUAGCCCAUCAGACACCUAGAAACUGCCUUUUCAUUUUUUUUAAAAAAAGCUUAUGUUUAAAAAAGGAACAAUGCCUUACUCAAUCUUUCAAAGGGCUGACAGAUGCAAAAAAAAAACUUGAUAAAAUUGGAAAUCAGGUUGGCUUUAAAAUGUAAAAAGACCAUAAUCAAGAUGCUGCUAUUCUGAAAUACCCCAAAUGAAAACUUUUUAAAGUGAUUCUCCUGUAAUGUACCACUGAAAUAAAUACCUUUUACAGUCA